rnacentral:lncRNA from 1 species
AUCUUAUAUAUUAUAGGAGAUAUCUUGAAAUUCGAAUAAAUAGUAAAACGGUUUGCACAUGCAUUCUGAUAUCUGUAUUCAGAUUUUUGGAUGGUUAAUUUUACAAGUUUUGGUAAUUAGUGGGACAAUACUAUAGUCCUCUGUAUACAAUGAUGUGCUCUAUAGUACUGGUUUAGUCAGGAAAGCAGUUUGUGUAUUGCAUGCAAGGAAAGUCUCAUAAUGACAAAGGGUUACAAUCCACUGGCAGCAGCACGAAAACUAUUUUUCAUGGUUCAGCA